rnacentral:sRNA from 1 species
UGUAGCGUCAUGUUAAUUUAUAUCAGUUGUGUUAUUUGAGUGGAUUUUGGUUAAUGCAUGAGGUGGGUGGAAGAGUUUUUAAGAGAAUGGUAGA